CCGGGCCUGCAUCGAGGGCUAGGAAGUAAAGUAAAUAUAAUUUUCGUGUAUGUCAAAUUUACAGGCUCAGUCGUACCUCUUUCUCGAGGUAGAUCCACAACAAGAAGAAGUUCGUCUGCGCGGACUCGACAGCAAGUUUAACUUCAUCUUUUAUUCCUCUCUUAACUUUUUUCAUUUUCAUAGUUUUAAACAUCAUUUGACUACAUCGACCUUACCGUCUCCAUGCGCAGGCUAUACCGGCUAACUUAUCAGUCGAUGUGUCUGCUUAAGAUUUCAUGAGCAAGGAUUGGAAAAGGUGCCAGUACAAUGUAAAGCCGUCCACUAGAAACAAAGGUAAAUAGUUCAGUGUCAUUGUGAUCAUUAUCAUUAGUGAUUUCCGAAGUCCUAUAUGCUGGCGCGAAAGGCUCGUAACGUGACAUAUCAAUAUUCGGGUGACCUUCAAACUCGCUCGGCCAAUCUCUUGGAGGCAUGGGUCUAAGGGCUUUUCAAGAUUUGUGAGAAAGAUUUGACCAAGCGAUAAAGUUUUUCUUGACAAAUUUUUGCCUCGCGGAUCAACAGGAAUCGAUCGACUUUCACCAUGUUUUCUGGAGAUCAGGGAGCGGGAAAUCUUCAGCUUUUCUAAAUAUGGGUAUCAAUACAAUACAUACGAAAGACACUAUCCGUGGGAAUAUGUUUGAUAUGCUGUUGGCGAUGGAUUAUUUUCGUAGAUGCAUAACAAUACGAACUUGUCAACACUCCUCAGUCAUCGCGUCACGUGUCAUCGCCUACGUCAAUCAUCCUGUUGUUUGAUUGACAGACCAACUCGACGCUAUCUCAGUAACCCCUCACAAGUCAACACAUAUCGCAACGUACCCAUGCCACUUCCGGUUCAUCUCCUUGUUCUCGACGAGAAAGAACCACAACUUUCCUAGGGCGCAUAAGAUGCGUAUAUUUAAAACGCUUUUUAAAGAUUUAAACUUGGUUUACAGAUGAAUUUUCGAGACGCUCAUUGCUACCUCAAUUGAAAGAAUUCAAUUCAAGGAAUUCAAAGGGUAUUUUGUCUCGUCUGUAAAAUUUGGAUCAUCGUUUUGAAGUCGUUGAGCCUCGUUUUCAUCGCCAAGGUCUAUCCCCUCGAGUGAAGUUUCAUUUGGUAUUUGUUAAGGGGGGUAAGCAUAAAGAAGUUGUUGACGGGUGCUACUCUUUGUGUCACUUAUUCAAUAGAAUGUCUAUUUAACCCUCUAAACCUCGUCACGAUCAAACCUUCUGAUCAAACCUUCACAGCGCAAACACUUCACAGAAAGGUGCGAGAAAUCUCAAGUAUUUCUUUCCCCUAUUGCCAUAUAGAUAGCUCGGUUCGUCUGCUUCUUAAGGAUAUUUUAAUUGUUGGGAAGAGAACGUCAAGAGAAGCAUAUUCAUGUUGUUUACUCAACCUGUACUGUACCCAAACAAGAAUUACAAGUUUGAUAAACAAUUAUUGGAAGCCAGUUUCACUCGGUCGGAUAGAUACCAAAGGUUGUUAAACGCAGAACUAAAGACGUUAAAAACGAGCCCAUAAAACUUUUGUGUGACUAAAAGAAGUUAGAAAGUUAAAUACUGGUCUCGAGGCGAAAAACAUGCUGCUUGGCAAAAGGAAGGUAUUGGCAAGUCUGUUUGCUCUGCUGGUGUUUGCUGAACUAGUCUCUCAGGUUCAAGGCUUCAUCGCAAUCCACCAUGGCCGGAUACGGUCCGUACACACGCGACACAAGGUUGUAAAUCUGGAAAGACUUUAUCGAAGACUGCCUCGUCCACCGAGAAUCCGAUAUGAUAUCAAUCGACGGCGGCGCUGGAGAAUCCCUCUGUACAGAAGAAGGAAUCAUCAGCAAAGAAAACGAGCAAGAGCUCUCAAGGCUCGUUUAAGACUGGAGUAGAGUUAGCCGCUGGCGAAAGAUACUUUAAAGGGCGUUUGCCUACAAACAAGAAGAGGCCGCCAAUCACGAUAAAAGUUUGGCUUUCACCAGUGGCCAUUCUCAUUAGCACAUUUAUAAGUAGAAAUAGUGAGGUCGGCUUACCCAGUUAAAGGCUGGAAACACUACGCUGAAAGGAAAUUAGAUUAUGUGGACGAGAAGAGGAAGGAAACUGUUCUGUAAGAGGCAAGGGCACAAAUCGAAUCUGAUCCGCGAAAUAACUGCUUCGCAGCCCGUUUUUUUCUGGUUGGGAAGUUGUUAGACCCCUCGGUUGCUGGGAAAAAAUCGUCACGAAUUGUUCUGCGGGCAAACUUGUGGAGUCGAACUCUAGUUGUGCUAGGAAUAUAUUGAGGGUCCCUGGAGCGGAUGCUUUGGGAAUAUCCUGCCUAUCGGUUAUACGGGCAAUUAUUCAUGUCAAAAUGCCUAACCAUUGCUGGCUGGGUAAAAAAUGCCUAACCAUUGCUGGCUGGGUAAAAAAUGCCUAACCAUUGCUGGCUGGGUAAAAAAUGCCUAACCAUUGCUGGCUGGGUAAAAAAUGCCUAACCAUUGCUGGCUGAGUAAAAAAUGCCUAACCAUUGCUGGCUGGGUAAAAAAUGCCUAACGACUGCUGGCUGGGUAAAAAAUGCCUAACCAUUGCUGGCUGGUAAAAAAUGGCUAACCAUUGCUGGCUGGGUAAAAAAUGCCUAACCAUUGCUGGCUGGGUAAAAAAUGCCUAACCAUUGCUGGCUGGGUAAAAAAUGCCUAACCAUUGCUGGCUGGGUAAAAAAUGCCUAACCAUUGCUGGCUGGGUAAAAAAUGCCUAACCAUUGCUGGCUGGGUAAAAAAUGCCUAACCAUUGCUGGCUGAGUAAAAAAUGCCUAACCAUUGCUGGCUGGGUAAAAAAUGCCUAACCAUUGCUGGCUGGGUAAAAAAUGCCUAACCAUUGCUGGCUGGGUAAAAAAUGCCUAACCAUUGCUGGCUGGGAAAAUAGGAGUGGUCCCUCCUGGGAACGAAACCAUGUGACGAAACCGAGCCCAAUCUAUUUGUUACUGUAAUAAAACAAAAAGCAAAAAAAAAAAAAAAUCGGUCAUCAUGCUUAGGUGCUGUGUAAAACGCAGUGGUACGAGAGUUGGAUUCUCUGAUAAGAAUCGCACGCAUUUCCGUAUGAGCAUCGUCAUCUUUUUAAAAUGAGCUUUGGCACAUGGAGCCCUUAUUCACAGUUUUGCAGUAAAAGUCAAAUAAUAAAAAAAUGUCUUAUAAA